GUGCUUCUCCUAAAGACUAAGCCAUGCAUGCUCUGACUACGAGGAAGCAAUCCUCUCUGAAUCUGCGAACGGCUCCGCAAACCAGUUGUAAACUAUAGCAAGCAAGCUCGUGCCCUUCACCGGGUGCGGGCAACACGGAUAACCCUGGUAAUUCUGAGGCUAAUACGAGAUCGUACUCCCUGGCCGACCGGGCAACUGGAAGGCUGGGAGGUGUGUGGUUUAGCACGAGGAAUCUGCUGGGAAAUAGACA
rnacentral:rRNA from 1 species